rnacentral:lncRNA from 1 species
GUUAUUAUCACAUAAGGCUAAGAGGAGGUCCCUUUGAAUAGGCCUUGAAUUGGAGUCGGAACCAAACUCCAAUCUUUAUUUAAAGAAGAUUUCUAAUCGCAUUAGGGCUCCCUCUUUUAAAGUCUUAAACCUAUUAAUUAGUCCUUAUCUCACAAGGAAAGGGGAUGAGGCACCAACUAUUGACCCUCUAGGAUUUCUCAUGCCAUAAGGAGAUGAGCAUGCACCCC